UAGACCUGCAGUUUCAUAUUGAAAUUGCAUAGUAUCAGAUAAACUGGUAAAGGUGAACAAAAUAUGCUAAAAGACAGGAUUUUGAACUUACUCAGCAAGAUGUCAAUAUAUAUAGGAGCAGUUGAAUUUUGGAUUGUUCAUCUGCACUUCAGUAUGCAACAUAAUGCCAAUUUUUUUUACUUUCCGAUUAUCUCAAUAAAAUAAAAAAACUUUUUGAUAAUCUUGGUGAGAUGAGAAGAUUAUAUGGAGCAAGGUAAGAAGAUUAUAUGGAGCAAAGAAGUCACCUUCUUUUUGUCUAGAAAAAUGUAAUACCUGGGCCUAAAAAUUUAUUGGGCCCAUAUUUAAGCAUUGGGCCAUGGUAUUUAAUGGGCUAACUAGGCCCAUGGUUGACAACCCAGUGUUGGCUGCCACCUCAUGCUUUAUGCAUGGGUGGGACUAGGGCCAGCUGGGGAUCAGAGGAGGACCCAGCUGUUCAGGCCCCUCACAGGCGUGAUACCUCGUUUUCCCUCCCCCCCCUCUUCUUAAGAAUAUCUAUUAAACCUACUGGUUCUCCCUUGAGAAAAAUCUCAGGAACCUGUGAACCGGAAGAGGAGGUGUUGGAGUGGAGGCACCGGAGCACGGGAUACUGCAAUCUCCUUCGGAAUCAAGGUGAUUAAGGAUUUGUCACCUGGACUUGAGAAAUUUGGAAAGCGAAUUGAGGUAAGUAAUCUAUUUUAAUCUUAUUGUGGAUCAUGUGAGUACUAUGCUUAUUAAGAUUUUAAAGUGUUAUUCGUGUAUAUAUUUCAUGAAUGGGUGUAUUAUAAAAUGUAAGUAACCUGCCCUAAUCUUCUAUGGAUCACGCAUGAAAUUAACCUGUCAUAAUUGUAUUGUAGAUCAUGUACCCUAAAUUAUGAGUUAUGAACUAGGAAUGUAUGUGGCAUGUUUUACAAGUUAUGAUUAUGUAUGCUUUAUGCUUAUGCAGAUUCCAUUAUGCCUACGAAAUAAUUGGAUUAUAUUAUAUCCUAAGAUAUGAAUUAUGAAUCUUGUAUAUGAGUGGCAUGGGUCAGUCACACAAUUUAUGAUUGUGCAUACAUUAUGCUUAGGCAGAUUUUAUUAUGCAUGCAAGAUGAAUUGGAUUACAUUAUCAUGAUUGUCAUUAGUAUAAUUGUGUUACAAGUGUAAAGAAUGAUGAUGAAUUGCAUCUAGCGAUAUGCACAUUUUGCAAGGGGUACCUAAGGACUCUUGAUGCUACGGAUCGAAUGCAACUGAGCCGGCCUUGCCAGUGGCCGAUAAUGACUGAGCCGGCCCCGCCAGUGGCUGACUAAUAACUGAACAGGCCCAACCAGUGACCGAUAAUGAAUUCGCUAUAGCAUCCAUGAGGUACUACCUAUAAGAAGGAUUGUCUACGAACUCUUAAGAGCUACUGAUCAAAUGCAACUGAGCCGGCCUUACCAGUAGCCGAGAAUGACUGAGCCAGCCCCGCCAGUGGCCGCCUAAUAACUGAGCUGGCCUCGCCAGUGGCCGAAAAUGACUUCACAGUAGCAUCUGAGAGCAUGACCACGGCAUGUCGGUGGACCUUUUAUGUUAUGUUAUUGUUUCGUGAAAAUACUUGUUGACAUGAAACACGAAUUUAUUGACUCAGUAUGCAUACUUCAUCAUAAUAAAUUGUUAAGUAAGAUACUUGUUGCUA